rnacentral:rRNA from 1 species
UACGAAGGGUGCUAGCGUUGUUCGGAAUCACUGGGCGUAAAGCGCGCGUAGGCGGCCAAUCAAGUCAGGGGUGAAAUCCCACAGCUUAACUGUGGAACUGCCCUUGAAACUGUAUGGCUAGAGUGUCGGAGGGGAUGGCGGAAUUGCUAAUGUAGAGGUGAAAGUCGUAGAUAUUAGCAGGAACACCGGUGGCGAAGGCGGCCAUCUGGACGACAACUGACGCUGAGGCGCGAAAGCGUGGGGAUCAAACAGG